AUACACAUUCUGGAGCAGAAGGUGGCGGUAAUUCACCAAUAAGCUGUGUACCACCCUCUGUUAAACAAGAAGAAGACGGUAUAUCCAAUCACAUGCGCAUGUUGCUGUGACGUGCUCUUGGAAGAAGAUCGUUGUGAUUUCAAAUUCUCGGUGGGAAAAUCUGGGUUUGACGGCGUUCAAGAGCAGAGUUCUCUACAUUUGGCCCAACAGCUCAAAUGGAAACUAGAGCACAAUAUCAGAAUGAAGCUCCCACACAUGGCCUUAUGACUGUUGCCCCAGUGAAGAACCCGAGGUCCAGCCUUCCCCACUCAAGACAUGCCGGAGACAAGAGUGACUGUAUUACAAAUUGAUCCAAGGUGAUCCUAACUUAAAUGUAGUUCACCGCUUGAAAAAGACAAAAAUACUCAACACUAUUAAUGUUGAAAUCAUUGGUCUAUGGUGAUUACUGUCCUGAAACUACCCUUCGCCCUUUUUUAUGUUUUUGUAUCUAGUUUUAUAUGUUUGUCUCAUCUUCUGUACCAUAAUUAUGCUUGCACAUAUUGCCUACCUAGAAAUGUAAGUUGAACCUGAUCUUAAUGGUAUUCUAUACAAUGACAAUAAAGGCUUUCUAUUCUAUUUGGGCUUGAUAUGUGUACAUUUUUUAUUGCUGCACUUAAAGUAUCUUAAAUUUUGAAUAUAUGAAUUACAGAAGCAAUGGCAUUUCAUUGGUAGGAUAGAAUGUAGAUCAAAAUUACGACACCAUGAUAUACCUUUUUUUAACACACAAAAUCAAAAUGUAUGGUCAGGGUUUAGUAAGUAAGUGACCAAUCCGCAACGUUGUGGAAAGGUAAAUAACGUAAUAAAGAAGUUUAAACAACG